UACGUAGGGACCAAGCGUUGUUCGGAUUUACUGGGCGUAAAGGGCGCGUAGGCGGCGUGUUAAGUCACUUGUGAAAUCUCUAAGCUUAACUUAGAACGGUCAAGUGAUACUGACGUGCUAGAGUGCAGAAGGGGCAACCGGAAUUCUUGGUGUAGCGGUGAAAUGCGUAGAUAUUCAAGAGGGAACACCUGAGGUGAAGACGGGUUGCUGGGCUGACACGUGACGUGAGGCGCGAAAGCUAGGGUAGCAAACGGG
rnacentral:rRNA from 1 species